rnacentral:rRNA from 1 species
UGCGUAGGCGGAAUAUUAAGUCAGUGGUGAAAUCCUGCGGCUCAGCCGUAGAACUGCUAUUGAUACUGAUAUUCUUGAAUGUAGUUGAGGUAGGCGGAAUGUGUAAUGUAGCGGUGAAAUGCUUAGAUAUUACACAGAACACCGAUUGCGAAGGCAGCUUACUAAACUAUGAUUGACGCUGAGGCACGAAAGCGUGGGGAGCGAACAGGAUUAGAUACCCUGGUAGUCC